rnacentral:rRNA from 1 species
CACGUAGGGCGCAAGCGUUGUCCGGAAUUAUUGGGCGUAAAGGGUGCGUAGGCGGGGCUUUAAGUCAGGGGUGAAAUCCUGGAGCUCAACUCCAGAACUGCCUUUGAUACUGAAGAUCUUGAGUUCGGGAGAGGUGAGUGGAACUGCGAGUGUAGAGGUGAAAUUCGUAGAUAUUCGCAAGAACACCAGUGGCGAAGGCGGCUCACUGGCCCGAUACUGACGCUGAGGCACGAAAGCGUGGGGAGCAAACAGG